AUUGAACGCUGGCGGCAUGCUUUACACAUGCAAGUCGAACGGUAACAGGCCGCAAGGUGCUGACGAGUGGCGAACGGGUGAGUAAUGCAUCGGAACGUGCCCAGUCGUGGGGGAUAACUGCUCGAAAGAGCAGCUAAUACCGCAUACGAUCUAUGGAUGAAAGCGGGGGACCGUAAGGCCUCGCGCGAUUGGAGCGGCCGAUGUCAGAUUAGGUAGUUGGUGGGGUAAAGGCUCACCAAGCCAACGAUCUGUAGCUGGUCUGAGAGGACGACCAGCCACGCUUGGACUGAGACACGGCCCAGACUCCUGCGGGAGGCAGCAGUGAGGAAUUUUGGACAAUGGGGGCAACCCUGAUCCAGCAAUGCCGCGUGCAGGUAUAAGGCCUUCGGGUUGUAAACUGCUUGUUUACGGAACGAAACGGCUCUGGUUAAUACCUGGGGCUAAUGACGGUACCGUAAGAAUAAGCACCGGCUAACUACGUGCCAGCCGCCGCAGUAAAAC
rnacentral:rRNA from 1 species